rnacentral:rRNA from 1 species
UUCUGGACAGUACUGACGCUGAGAUGCGAAAGCGUGGGGAGCAAACAGGAUUAGAUACCCUGGUAGUCCACGCUGUAAACGAUGUCGAUUUGGAGUUUGUUGCCUAGAGUGAUGGGCUCCGAAGCUAACGCGAUAAAUCGACCGCCUGGGGAGUACGGCCGCAAGGUUAAAACUCAAAUGAAUUGACGGGGGCCCGCACAAGCGGUGGAGCAUGUGGUUUAAUUCGAUGCAACGCGAAGAACCUUACCUGGUCUUGACAUCCAUAGAAUCCUGCAGAGAUGUGGGAGUGCCUUCGGGAACUAUGAGACAGGUGCUGCAUGGCUGUCGUCAGCUCGUGUUGUGAAAUGUUGGGUUAAGUCCCGCAACGAGCGCAACCCUUAUUCUUUGUUGCCAGCGAUUUGGUCGGGAACUCAAAGGAGACUGCCGUUGAUAAAGCGGAGGAAGGUGGGGACGACGUCAAGUCAUCAUGGCCCUUACGACCAGGGCUACACACGUGCUACAAUGGCGUAUACAAAGGGAAGCGAAGGUGCGAGCUGGAGCGGAUCUCAUAAAGUACGUCUAAGUUCGGAUUGGAGUCUGCAACUCGACUCCAUGAAGUCGGAAUCGCUAGUAAUCGUAGAUCAGAAUGCUACGGUGAAUACGUUCCCGGGCCUUGUACACACCGCCCGUCACACCAUGGGAGUGGGUUGCACCAGAAGUAGAUAGCUUAACCGCGAGGGGGGCGUUUACCACGGUGUGAUUCAUGACUGGGGUGAAGUCGUAACAAGGUAACCA